GGGCGCCAUCACUGCAGAGCUGGCACCGGAAGGCUGAAGGGAUCGGAAGGCUGAAGGGAUCAGAACGCCUCAAGUAACGCCGACCUGAUGGUUAGGGCGGAGGGACCCGGUUCUUCCAGGACACAAACCAGCCUCCCCUUAGGCCCAAGUGGUGGAUUCCAGAAGGAAGAACUUGCUGACGACGACAAUCAGCUUGCAACAGCGGCGGCGAGCUGCGCGUGGCUGCAGGUCUCUAGAGUCCACCCCAGGCCCUUUCCCGACCACCUCUGGGGGCGCUGGCGCUGUCCUCUGUCUGUUGUGCGAGGAGUCCCCAGGAGUUUCACCGGCCUGAGAGGGAAAAGGGGGCCUUCGACCCUCUUCAGAAAGUCCUUUCCUUUCCACGAGUAACACCUUCAUCAGAUGGUUCCAAGAAGUGACAAGUUGAAGGUCAUGAUCCUUUUGCUGACACAGAGCCUGGCACAUGGAGGCACCAAAUGCAUGUUAGUCUAGGCACUGUGGAGGAGCUCAGAUUGUGUUUGUUGAUUGACUGAGUGAGCAAAUGAAGAACGACUAAACCAAGCACAAAGCUGGGCGUCCUAAGGUGGAGCUGGGCUAAGGAAAGUGACUGUCUCUAGGGCCUUCACAAUUGAGGCAGGACCUUAUCCACCAUUUGACCAGGGUGAGGAACUGUGCAGGGCACCCAGGUGUGACCCAACCAUGUCCAUUGUUCCUCUCUGUCCCUUUGAUGGACAGCCUGUACCCACGACACUCUUUCCAGAUGCUGCCUGCAUCCUAGUUCCCUGUCCUAUCACCUCUGCAUGGAAAGAUGUGGAGUUGGCCACAUUGAUCCCAACACCAAUGGGAUCACCUGAGGAUGGAUCUGGUGACUGACCUUGUGCCUUCUCACAGUACAGGCUUUGGGAUCCACAGCAACCCAGGCAGAGUUUGUAACAGUGCAGGUUCCCAGGCCCCAUCCCAGACUGCCUGAGUCACUCUGGGCCUGAACCCAGGAAGAGUUAACCAUCUGGAGACUGUAGAUUGUAACAAUUUCCUUGGGUGACUUCCAGGCAGGCUAAAGUGUAAGAAAGGGUGCCAUGAAUCAGCAAAACAGCCAGCACUUCAACUUGCAACCUGAGCAUCCCACAGGGGUCCCAGCCAUCGUAGUGCCAGCUACAUUUGCUGAAGUGUGAGGCCUGGACUGCAGGCAGGCUCCAGGCCAACCCUUCCUUGCAUGACUUGCUCAGGGAUCUGUAUGACAUGCUGGUGCCAUUCUCUCCAUUUUACAGAUGAGGGACCAGAGGCCCAGAGCACUGAAGUACCUAGCUAAAAAGCUGGAACACCAUAUUACCCUGCCUCCCUGACAGCUUUCCUCCAUCCAAGUGGCCCAACUGUGGUUCAGAAAAUACAGCCUCAUUAAA
rnacentral:lncRNA from 1 species